CACUCGCGAUCUCCGCGGCUCCCACCCAAUCCUUAGGCAAAUAAGCAGGGAGAAACUCCUCAAAAACCCUCCGCGUUUUUCUCCAAAACCCUUAGAAUAACUUCUAGGGAACCCCCGUAUACCCAAACCCUUAUGCUCGAUAACAGGGGAAAUCCUGAAACCAAAUCCUUAGUCUUUUUUUUUUUCCUCAAAUUCAGCGCCUUAACCCUAGGCACAUAACCGGCCAAUCCUCCUGAAAAACCAAACAAAACAAAAAAACCUCCACGGUUUCUCUCCAAAAUACGCAAAACAAAAAACCCCUAGAAAUAACCUAUAGGCAACCUCCUAUCCCCAAAACCUUAUAUUCGAUAACAGGGGAAAAUCCUGAAACCAAAUCCUUAGGCAUUUUUUCUCAAAUUCCGCUCAGAGUCUAAGUUCUCCUUUCGCUAUCACUCCAUCCCGCAACCGCUGCCAGAGCAGCAUCUUUUUCCUUCUUGUUCACUCCACCAUCUACUGCUUAAUGAUUCUGGGUCUUCGUUUGAAAUUUGCGCCGGAGAUCCACUCCGCCUCCCAGGUAAACCUUACUGCCCCGCUGCCAAUCACAUAACAAAGGGGCGGCUCCAUUCGCACCCCGGUUAGCCAAUCACGCUCAGCUUGGAUUUUCAUGAUCCCCCCGCUCAGGUUAAGACUCGCGUCUUGUCUCACAUGCCAUCUGACUUCGGACGCGUGGACAACUACCGCCACUCAGACCGAAUCCACAAUAAUACCCCCGUCUCCAGACCACAUGGACAAUUGGCGGCACUUUUACCUGUGUGCAUAUCAAUCGGUAAGUGUUACUCUUGCUUUCUAACUACAUUUUGCACUUUCCUUUUUUUAACCAUUUUCUCUCAAAAAGCUUUUCAAAGCCAUCCUGAAAUAGGUAGUCUAACACCUGUAAUACACUUUAAAAUAUAUAUAUAUAUAAGCUCCAGUUUAUCACUCAGAGCUAAAAAGUGCUUGAGUACACUAACAGCGAUCAUGUCCUCCUCAGGUACCUCUUUUUUUUCUUACUCUUGUUCAUAUAAUGCUUAUAUUUUACUGUAUUUCCUGUUUUUUAAAUACUCCUUGUUAUUUCUUUUUAGACUCUGAAAUAAGCCUGUUUGAUUCUUCGCUUUUGGAUAAUCUCGAUCAAAUCGACAUAUCGGAUUUGGAUAACUAUGUUUUUUCGAGUUCACCUAGUUCUUCGCCCAGUUCUUCACCACCACCGGUUUUAGAGUGAGUUACAGGCAAGAACAUCCGUCUCUCGACCCGCGAGAGGCAGGCCCUGCUUUCUGCGAGGGGUCGCUCAGCUUCAUCCACUCCAGCCGGCGUUUCAGCUCCUCCGCGUCCCUCGGGAAAAAACCUCCAUCUAACCGCCCGGGAUAGGCAACAACUGUUCGCGGCAGACGCUCCCAGUGCCGGUCUCGGCGUUUCAGCUCCUCCGCGUCCCUCGGGAAAAAACCUCCAUCUAACCGCCCGGGAUAGGCAACAACUGUUCGCGGCAGACGCUCCCAGUGCCGGUCUCGGAGCUUCUCUUCCUGCACCGGGGCCAAGACAUCCACAGCCCCUGCCUCGGAGAUCCAAUCUAGGUCAGUCACUCUCGCUUUUUCUUUUUCUCUCAUUUUAUAAAAACUAUCUCCUUUUCUAUUAAACACCAGUAACUGAUUUGUAUCUUACCUUAAAUUCAUAGGGCAUCUCAGAAGGAGGUGUAGGAGGACCGUUAGGCCAAAGAGCACAAGGCAAAGACGCAGACAACGAAACCAGCUUGCUUCCAUCGCUCUUCGAACUGUAUCUCUGUUCGCUGAAUUAGUGCAACUCAUCUUAUAAUAAGGUUUUAUUUUAUUUUAUUGUUUUUUAUUUUUUAUUUUUUAUUUUUUUUUAAAUAUAUUCUUUGUUAAACAAUAAAAAAACAAUGGACAACCAGGUACAAGAUAUUCCAGACCCCUUUCUUGCUUUAGAAAUAGAGUUAGCCCGGUUAAAUGAAAACGCCCAUCAUUCACAGAAUCAUGAACAGCCUGAGGUGAUCAAUAAUAAUAACGAUCCUCUAGAACUGAUUGAUUUAGCUCUUGCACAACUAGCCCAUAGUGAAAGUGCCCCCCAGAAUAACACUGAAAAUUUAGGAGUGGAGCAUGUUGAGGCUCAUUCUCAGCAAAACAUUGCCUCUUCUGACCCUUUCGCAGCUCUAAAUAGCGCUUUAGAAGCCUUAGCACGAAUACAGCACGAGGUUCAAAUACCUCCAGAAUUAUUGAGUCAAAUAAACAGGUUAAAUGAAAAUAAUUUUAAUGAUAGCCAGCAUUCGCACAGCUCUAACCCAGGCGGUGAGUCUGUUAACCACAGUCCACCCCCACCGGUGUUAAGCGGUUUCAACAAUAGUCCGCAUUUGCUCAAUUCUCCCCCAGUAAACAAUGCUCGCGAUCACUCCUUUCAACAAGGGGGUAAUCCAGAGUAGGGGUGUUCCAGCAAUUCAUCACAGCCGCAUAUAAUUGUUAGAAAUAAAUUUAAUAACGUUGAAAUUAGAGAAAUUUUGAAUUUUCCUCCUCCAAACGAUAUACCUGAUUACGCCCGAUAUUAUGAAGGUAUAAUGGCCGGUGCCCGAGAAAUAACAAGCAGGAUUUUCUCCCAUGCACGUCCAGGUGAUCUUAUACAAUUAGAAUUGAUAGGCCAACAGCUACAAAAUAAUGUUUCAGUCAUUUUAAGGGACAA